rnacentral:rRNA from 1 species
CAGUAGCCGCGGGAAUACGUAGGUGGCAAGCGUUGUCCGGAAUUAUUGGGCGUAAAGGGCUCGCAGGCGGUUUCUUAAGUCUGAUGUGAAAGCCCCCGGCUCAACCGGGGAGGGUCAUUGGAAACUGGGAAACUUGAGUGCAGAAGAGGAGAGUGGAAUUCCACGUGUAGCGGUGAAAUGCGUGGAGAUGUGGAGGAACACCAGUGGCGAAGGCGACUCUCUGGUCUGUAACUGACGCUGAGGAGCGAAAGCGUGGGGAGCGAACAGGAUUAGAUACCCCUGUAGUCCCUGUCUCUUAUAC